UGAGGAACUUGCCCAUGAGCGGGGGACAACAUUCGGAAACGGAUGCUAAUACCCCAUAGGUGGAUUGGUCGCAUGACGAAUUCAUUAAAGGUGGCUUUGCUACCACUCAUGGAUAGCCUCGCGGCGUAUUAGCUAGUUGGUAAGGUAAUGGCUUACCAAGGCAGUGAUACGUAGCCGACUUGAGAGGGUGAUCGGCCACACUGGGACUGAGACACGGCCCAG
rnacentral:rRNA from 1 species